CGGCCUCCAAUUGAGUACACGGGACCCGAAGUGGAAUAGAAUUCGAAUCAAGUUACUCAAUGCUUAGUGAGAUGUGCCGUUCUUGCAAUCGAAAAUUGUCCGGCACUUUCCUUUCUUUUUUGUAAGAACUGAAUUGGCUGUUUGGCUUGGCUCCUGCUUCCUGUAAGAGAACUUUGAUGGUGUUUGCUUCACAGUUUUGUAGGACAAUUGUCCCCUCUUCUAAGUGCCG
rnacentral:lncRNA from 1 species